rnacentral:rRNA from 1 species
GAUGAACGCUGGCGGCGUGCCUAAUACAUGCAAGUCGAGCGAACAGACGUGGUGCUUUCUCCUCUGACGUUAGCGGCCGACUGGUGAGUAACACGUGGAUAACCUACCUAUAAGACUGGGAUAACUUCGGGAAACCCGAGCUAAUACCGGAAAAUAUAUUCAACCGCACUGUUCAAUCAUGUAAUACGGUUUUGCUGUCACUUAUAGAUUGAGCUGCGCCGCAGUCGCUAGAUGGGGAGGUAACGGCGUACCAAGCCAACGAUGCGUAUCAGACCUGCGAGGGUGCUCGGCCACACUGGAACUGAGACGCGGUCCAGACUCCUACGGGAGGCAGAAGUAGGGAAUCUUCAGCAAUGGGCGAAAGCCGGACGGAGCAACGCCGCGGGAGUGAUGAAGGUCUUCGGAUCGUAAAACUCUGUUAGUAGGGAAGAAGAAAAGUGUAAGUAACUAUGCACAUCUUGACGGUACCUAAUCAGAAAGCCACGGCUAACUACGUG